AAAGGGGCUUACCUGUGUAUCAGAACCGUCGAGUCAUCGAAUCCUAGGCCGCUUCGCAGUGGUCGAAGAUCGAAAGGGACGGAGGUUGAUUGCGGCGCGAUUCUGAUUGAAAGGGGGCUAGGGUUUUAGUUUGUUUCUGUUUUUAGGUUUUGUUUAUUUAUUCAUUUAGAUCUAAAGCAUAAAACGGCGUCGUCUGAUAGCCCUCGACCCGCGCGGUGACCGGCCCAGGGGAAGGAUCCGCGCGUUUUGGGUCUGACGGGAUUAUUGCGUAACUGGCCCGUCUGCGUUCGUUUUCAUUUCAAUUCGAUUUUUUUUGUUUUUUAAUUGUUGCCUCAUAUUUA
rnacentral:lncRNA from 1 species